rnacentral:lncRNA from 1 species
AGGUUCUCGACGCUCUCCAAGCUGACAGCGUCCAGGAUCGCGGGGGAGGGGGGUCGGGGAGGCGGGGGGGUGGGGUGGGGGGAACCUCCCCGUGGCCAUCUCAGCAGGUGCACCCCCCCCCCCCGCCCCUGGUCAUCUCAGCAGGUGCACCACCCCCGCCCCUGCCCAUCUCAGCAGGUGCACCCCCCCCCACCCCGGCCAUCUCAGCAGGUGCACACACACACACACACACCCCCCCCCCCCGCCCCGGCCACCUCAGCAGGUGCACCCCCACCCCGGCCAUCUCAGCAGGUGCACCCCCCCCCCCCCCGCCCCUGGUCAUCUCAGCAGGUGCACCACCCCCGCCCCUGCCCAUCUCAGCAGGAGCACCCCCGCCCCCCCCCCCCCCCGCCAUCUCAGCAGGUGCUCCCCCCACCCCCGCCCCGGCCAUCUCAGCAGGUGCACCCCCCCCCCCCCGCCCGGCCAUCUCAGCAGGUGCACCCUCACCCCCCCCACCCCCGGCCAUCUCAGCAGGUGCACACACACACACACACACACCCCCCCCCCGCCCCGGCCACCUCAGCAGGUGCACCCCCACCCCGGCCACCUCAGCAGGUGCACCCCCACCCCGGCCAUCUCAGCAGGUGCACACACACACCCCCCCCCCCCCGCCCCGGCCACCUCAGCAGGUGCACCCCCACCCCGGCCAUCUCAGCAGGUGCACCCCCCCCCCGCCCCUGGUCAUCUCAGCAGGUGCACCACCCCCGCCCCUGCCCAUCUCAGCAGGAGCACCCCCGCCCCCCCCCCCCCGCCAUCUCAGCAGGUGCUCCCCCCACCCCGCCCCGGCCAUCUCAGCAGGUGCACCCCCCCCCCCCCGCCCCGGCCAUCUCAGCAGGUGCACCCUCACCCCCCCCCCACCCCCGGCCACCUCAGCAGGUGCACCCCCACCCCGGCCACCUCAGCAGGUGCACCCCCACCCCGGCCAUCUCAGCAGGUGCACACACACCCCCCCCCCCGCCCGGCCACCUCAUCAGGUGCACCCCCACCCCGGCCAUCUCAGCAGGGGCACACACACCCCCACCCUGGGGCCGCUCGGACCGCCCCCGGUGCCGCGCUCUCGGGCUGUCCCCAGCUCGCUCAAGCAGCCACACGCGUGGUGGUCGCCACGAGACGCCCAGAGGUGUGGGCGCCGUGGGGAGGGGACCGCCCAGCCCCCGCCGGCCCUCGCCAUCGCCGGGCGCGCUUCUGGGGAAGCGACAAAAGCCGCCGCGGCCGAGCGCGGCGCGGGGCCCGGGGCUCUGUGCUCCCGCAGAGUCGCCCACAUCCGCCGCCCCGAGGUCCCCGCUCCCGGCCCCGGGUCGCGCCCCCCUGCGAGUCCGUCCCCGGCAAACCCGCCGCCCGCGGGGGAGCCCGUGUCCACGCGCUCGCGCUGCCCUCCCCGCGCCCCUCGCCGCCCCCUCCCCGCAGCACCUGCACCCCCCGCCCGGGCCGCCUCACCCCUGCUCUCCAGGUGGGCGCCGUGAAGCGGGGCGCGGAGGGGCAGCGGCGCCUGACCGGCCGCCCCCCGUGCGGAGCCACCGGGCGGGCCCCGGGAGGACGGAGCCGGGACGCGCUGGGCCCCCGCGCGGCUCCACCCCCGCGGCCGAGCGCUGGGGGCGCGGGCCGGGCCAGCCGGGGUCCCGCCCCGGUUCCUCCCCCAAGCCGCGCCCUGCCCUCUGGGGGGCCCACCGCGCCCUCCGCGGCGCAGACCCGAGCAACGCGGACCUGGGGCCCGGCCCCCCCGCACCUGCUGCUCGCCGAGCCCCGCCGGGAGCCCCCCUCCCGGGACCUGGCGGCAGCACCCACCCCCCCACCCCCACCCCAGGUCGGCGCGUCCUGCUGAAGCCGGGGUUUGCGGUUCCAUCACACCUGGGCGGGGGGGGGGGGGGGGGAAAGCAUCCAGGUGUGAUGGAUCCAGGUGGACGCUGCGGAGAAGCCGCCAAGCCAAACCCAAAGCGCUCACAAUUCGAAACCCGAGCCCUAAGGAAGGGUCAGGAGGCUGCGUGCCCCGCGGCCGUCCCUUCCAGGCGCCCCAGCAGCGCCCCGAUCUCUCCCGGGGCGGGGGUCUCAGAGUUACCCGCCCUGGUAACAGAGGCCGGCCAGCCUGUCUGCUGGCUGCAAGCAACCUGCCCUCGCUUCCUUGGUGGCUUCUAG